ACGGCUCAGUAACACGUGGAUAACCUGCCCAAGGGUCCGGGAUAACCCCGGGAAACUGGGGAUAAUACCGGAUGGAUCACUCAUGCUGGAAUGCUAGGUGGUCGAAAGGUAACGCCCUUGGAUGGGUCUGCGGCGGAUUAGGUUGACGCCGGUGUAACGUACCGGCGUGCCUGUAAUCCGUACGGGUUGUGGGAGCAAGAGCCCGGAGAUGGAUUCUGAGACACGAAUCCAGGCCCUACGGGGCGCAGCAGGCGCGAAAACUCUACAAUGCAGGCAACUGCGAUAGGGGGACAUCGAGUGGCAUCCACCUUGGGUGCCUGUCCAACCGUCUAAAAAACGGUUGUUAGCAAGGGCCGGGUAAGACCGGUGCCAGCCGCCGCGGUAAUACCGGCGGCUCGAGUGGUGGCCGAUAUUAUUGAGUCUAAAGGGUCCGUAGCCGGCUUUGCAAGUCCCCUGGGAAAUCCAGCGGCUUAACCGUUGGGCUUUCAUGGGAUACCACAUUGCUUGGGACUGGGAGAGGUAGGAGGUACUCGGGGGGUAGGGGUGAAAUCCUGUAAUCCUCCGGGGACCACCGGUGGCGAAGGCGUCCUACCAGAACAGGUCCGACGGUGAGGGACGAAAGCUAGGGGCACGAACCGGAUUAGAUACCCGGGUAGUCCUAGCCGUAAACGAUGCCCGCUAGGUGUCACGACGGUCGUGAAUCGUCGUGGUGCCGUAGGGAAGCCGCGAAGCGGGCCACUUGGGAAGUACGACCGCAAGGUUGAAACUUAAAGGAAUUGGCGGGGGAGCAC
rnacentral:rRNA from 1 species